AUGACCAGGAAUGAAAUCCAAGUGGCACCAUUGCAUCAAAUCAUUCUCACCCUUCCCUCUCUCUUCCUUGCAGCCAGAACGAUUGCCAUGGAUGCUGGAAACCCAUCACUGUUGCAACACCGGCAGAAGGAGCUGCAGGCAAAGCGGGACUCCUACAGAUAUAAAGAAUACCAGCCUGGAUGGCCCAUGUGCCUCGAUGCCGACACGGUGGACCACUUGCACCCAAACGAUCGCUAUUCCAGAAUUAAGGAAAAUAUUUUCCAAGUGCAGAUGGUGACAGCUGAAGUGGAAUUGAAAAUGAAAGGCCUGCUAGAUUGCAAAAAUUCUUGGAAAAAACUGGAUGACAUACGGAUGGCCUUUUGGUUUUAUCGAUCCCCCGUCACAGGUCAGUAUCCUCCACAGAUAAACCAGACUUAUUAAUCUAGACCUCCCAACAAAGGAUUCCCCCAGGCAGGGAGCAGCCAGGCUUUGAAACUGCAGGGCUUUUCAAUGCUAAUCAAGCUGGCCAAUUGCAACAUUCAAACUUGCCUCAAACAGACAAGAGCUCUUUCUCCCACCCUGAACAUUAAUUCACAGGUAUGCAAACCCCACUUGCCUAGUUUCCAACAGACCUCACAACCUCUGAGGAUGUUUGCCAUAAAUGUGGGCAAAACAUCAGGAGAGAAUGCUACCGGAACAUAGCCAUACAGCCCGGAAAACUCCCAGCAACCCUGUGAUUCUGGCCAUGAAAGUCUUUGACAAAACUUUAGCCUCAACAGUGCAAUUUAUCCAAUUAAUAAUAAUAAUAAUAAUAAUAAUAAUAAUAAUAAUAAUAAUAACAACUACUUUAUUUUUAUACCCCGCCCCAUCUCCCCGAAGGAGCUCGGGGCAGCUUACAUGGGGCCUAGUCCGAUAAAACAAUCAAAUAUCAAUGAUAAAACAAUAAAACAAUUAUACCAAUAGAACCUCAAUUAUCAGUAAAACAA
rnacentral:lncRNA from 1 species